AAGCGUUGUUCGGAAUUACUGGGCGUAAAGGGCUCGUAGGCGGCCAACUAAGUCAGACGUGAAAUCCCUCGGCUUAACCGGGGAACUGCGUCUGAUACUGGAUGGCUUGAGUUCGGGAGAGGGAUGCGGAAUUCCAGGUGUAGCGGUGAGAUGCGUAGAUAUCUGGAGGAACACCGGUGGCGAAGGCGGCAUCCUGGACCGAGACUGACGCUGAGGAGCGAAAGCCAGGGGAGCAAACGGG
rnacentral:rRNA from 1 species